rnacentral:rRNA from 1 species
GUGGGGAAUAUUGGACAAUGGGCGAAAGCCUGAUCCAGCCAUGCCGCGUGCAGGAUGAAGGCCUUCGGGUUGUAAACUGCUUUUGUACGGAACGAAAAGACUCCUUCUAAUAAAGGGGGUCCAUGACGGUACCGUAAGAAUAAGCACCGGCUAACUUCGUGCCAGCAGCCGCGGUAAUACGAAGGGUGCAAGCGUUACUCGGAAUUACUGGGCGUAAAGCGUGCGCAGGCGGCUUUGCAAGACAGAUGUGAAAUCCACGGGCUCAACCUGGGAACUGCAUUUGUGACUGCAAGGCUAGAGUACGGCAGAGGGGGAUGGAAUUCCGCGUGUAGCAGUGAAAUGCGUAGAUAUGCGGAGGAACACCAAUGGCGAAGGCAAUCCCCUGGGCCUGUACUGACGCUCAUGCACGAAAGCGUGGGGAGCAAACAGGAUUAGAAACCCGGGUAGUCC